rnacentral:rRNA from 1 species
UGGGGAAUAUUGGGCAAUGGGCGAAAGCCUUACCCAGCAACGCCGCGUGAGGGAAGAAGGUUUUCGGAUUGUAAACCUCUGUCCUGGGGGACGAAGGAAGUGACGGUACCCCGGGAGGAAGCCCCGGCUAACUACGUGCCAGCAGCCGCGGUAAUAACGUAGGGGGCGAGCGGUUGUCCGGAAUUAUUGGGCGUAAAGGGCGCGUAGACGGCCGAGUAAGUUAUAGGUGAAAGCCCAUCUUUCAAGGAUGGAAUUGCCUGUAAUACUGCCUGGCUUGAGUGCAGGAGAGGGAAGCGGAAUUCCUAGUGUAGCGGUGAAAUGCGUAGAUAUUAGGAGGAACACCAGUGGCGAAGGCGGCUUUCUGGACUGUAACUGACGUUGAGGCGCGAAAGCGUGGGGAGCAAACAAGAUUAGAUACC